UGCCAGCCGCCGCGGUAAUACGGAGGGUCCAAGCGUUAUCCGGAUUUAUUAGGUUUAAAGGGUCCGCAGGCGGGAUUUUAAGUCAGUGGUGAAAGCCUACAGCUCAACUGCAGAACUGCCAUUGAUACUGAAAUUCUUGAGUGUGGUUGAAGUGGGCGGAAUAUGUCAUGUAGCGGUGAAAUGCUUAGAUAUGACAUAGAACACCAAUUGCGAAGGCAGCUCACUACGUCAUCAUUGACGCUGAGGGACGAAAGCGUGGGGAGCGAACAGGAUUAGAUA
rnacentral:rRNA from 1 species